UAUUAGUUUGUAUAUCAAGGAUAUAUUUUUUUUUGUAAACUAAGCAGCUUUAAGUAUGGGAAAUUACCGAGAACAUUUUAGUCUAGUGGCAUAGUCUCCUUUUAAUAAGUAGGAAGUUGUGAGUUCGAUUUAUAAAAUUGUAAUAUGUGAUAAAAAAAUAUGGGAAAUUACUUAUAACUCGCAAUUGUAGAGACAAAAACAACUAAUAUUACGCUCUCUGAAACUCCUGAAGCAACUCUUAGAUCUUGAAACCCUGGCUUCGAUUGUCGGUGGCCCUCCUCUUCUAAGCUUUGAUCGUGCUGGUGACUCUUAUUGCAGUGGCAGCGAGAGGCAUUGAUAGAGGCUUCAGGCGACAACUUUGUGGUGGAGAUCUGUUGUCACAUCCCGACCCUUAUAUUUUUUACCUUAUUUACUAGUUUGAUUAUAAUAAGAAUUUUACCGUCCCUGUCAUUGAGGUAAUAGUUUAAAUGGUCCUUAGAGAUAUUUUAAGGGACGAUUAAUUUCGGGGAAUUAUUCGUGGGAGGAAAUAUGACGACGGUAAAAAUGGUAAAUUUUAGCUAGUAAAAGGUAAUUUUUAUUCAGGUAUUAUUUUUCGGGGUGUUUUAUUUUUGGAAUUGAGUUGUUAUAUAGGUGAUGGACCGGGUUGGUUAGGCCCAAAACCCAGCCCUCACUUUUUCUUUUUCUUUUUUUCUUCCUCUCUUCUUCCCGGUUUCCUCCCGAGCCUCUCCCCCGCCGGAAACUUCUCGCCGUCCGUACGCCGCCAUCCGGCCACCAUCUGCCGCCGCUCCGGUCCCGUUCAGUUGCCCUCCGACCCAGCUAUCUUCCAGGACCGGUGACAACCCCCCUAGCGCCGCCGUGAGAGAGCGGUGCCGCCCGAAAGGUUAGACUGCCCCGAACUUCCGGUCGUCGGAACUCCCUCCUCCGGCCACCAAAACCAGUGAUCCUUGGCUCGUUUUGUAGCCCUCCUCCCGUGAAGCAACCCCUCCAAUCAGCUCACUCCCUCUUGAGCUAGGUAAGGAGAAAUGUGGAGUUGAAUUUUCUAGGGCUUUUAGGAUGUUUUCGUUCGAUUAGCCUAGUUAGGCUUGGAAUUGGGUGAUAUGCUGGUUAAGAAAGUUGUAGAGCUUGAUGAGGAGAUUAUUCUGUCAAAAUUUCAUAGGUUUUGGAGGUCGCCGGAAUUGGCCUCCGGCCGCCGCUGCCGGCGGAGCCGCCGGUUAAGAGAUUUUUAGGGUUUUAAGUGUGGAAUAUUAAGAGGAGUACAUUGAUGUGAUUUAUGGAAUUUUUGGAUGAGAUUUGUAUAGGUUUGUGAAUUUCCGAAGUUUGGUAUUUUUGGCGGUUAAUUAAUGUAGAAUCCGGCCGUAGGAUUUAAGUCGUAUUUUGGGGAGGUUGUAUUUACGACUGUUGAGUAUGAUAUUUAAGUUCGGAUCGUUCCGAUUUAAGAAUAUUGAAGUUAGGCAAUGAUGAGCGUAUUUAUGGCUCUCAGGUAAUUUUGCCUAUUUUGAUUAAAUAUUGGAUUAUUGGUUGGGAAAUUAAUAUUAUAUUUGCAACAGGACGUGAGGAGGCUCGAGCAGACGAGGCCCCAGAUCGACAUCAGGCUUAGGCCUAAUUUGUGAUUGGACGUUUAUUUUAAAUAAAUGCAUGCUAUAGUUCAUGGUUGAAUAAUUAAUGUUGCGGAAUAUUUUAACGUCAUUUUAAUUUGACGAUUUUUAUUUCUCUUGGAGAGUUACAGAAAAUGGGAUUUUCGGUGGAUAUAAAUAUGUAUUUAUGAGAGAGUAUGUAUAUAAAUGCUAGCUAGCCAUAUGUGUCUGUCCACCUUAAUGGCGUAACAUAUAGCCGCAUUAUGGUGUGACGUGAGCGUAGUACCCCUAUUUGAGUGUUUAAUUCAUAUAGGAGGUAUGGACACAUAUUUAUACACCUGUCUGUCCACCUUGAUGGCGUAGUGUAGCACCGCAUUAAGGCGUGACGUGAGCGUUGGACGCGAGCGUAGUAGCCUUAUAUAGACCCAUGAAUUUAUAUAGGGAGUAUGGACGAGUGUAAAUACAUACAUAUAUUAUAGAGUCUGAGAGGCUCGAUAUUUUAUGAGAUAAAAGUUUUAUCGCUUGCGGCAUGCAUUCGAUUUUUCCUUAGAAAUUAAUUUGGGGAAACAUAAAUAUUUUAUUUAUUAUUUUAUUUUUGUCCACUCACUGUAACGUUAUUAAAUGUUUUCCCCUGGGCCAUUCGUUUUAAAUUGCCCAGUCUGCAGAGUUCGGGUUGGAUCUAGUAGGAGGCGAGACAUAGUCACCCGCAUUUCUGCCAGUUUUCGUCAGUAGGUUACCUGUUCAACCUACUCGUGUUUUCUUACUUCCGCUAGUGUUUAGUAGCUCUGAAUACUUUGGGAUUAUUGUAUAUUAUGUGUAGAAUUUCUGAAGGAUAAUUAUGUGAUGUUUGGGCGUGUUGUAUUAAGAGUGUAAUUUAGAAUUUUCGAGUUAGGGUUGUCCAUACAAGGGAGAUUUUCUCAAUCUUUUCAGUAAAUUUUCCUUGGAGGUGGUCCCCGCACGACUUACUCCGGGUUUCAGGGUGAAAUUCGGGGUGGGUCGUGUCAUCUGUGGUCACACCUCUCCAACUAUGUGUGUUUCUCUAAGGCGACUUUCUAGGUUCGAGUGUUUUUGAGGUGUGAAAGGCAUCACAUGUAUCAUAUCUCGGCGUUAACGAGAGCGACAAUUCUGGAUCUAGAAGGGGGUGUGGUGGUCUUGUGAGACCUUUUGGAUAUGAUUGUUGGUGGAUGACUGGGUUGGCAGUAAUCAGGCUUUAGACGACGGUGGUCGAGAUGCAAGACCGACUUGACUGAGGUUAGGGAUUUUUUGGUGGCGACAACAUUGUUGGAGCAUCGUUGAUCAGAGUUUAGCAGAUUGAGGGUUUUGCAUCUGUGAGAAGGAGAACACCUAGAUUUUGAUUUUGGUUUAUGUUUUUGGUGGCGAUUGCGUUGUCCGGGCGGCGUUGAUUAACUAGCUAGCGGAGCAUGUAGGAUUUUCAGCUCCUAUCAUGGCGGAGGGACGAGGGUGGCAAUGUAGGCUAUCUCACCAGAGAUGAGCAAACCGUCCCUUACAAUGCCUAGAAGGAGGGCCUAAGCCCAAACUGCAAGUGAAGACACAAAAAAAAACCAUUCUUCCAGCCAAGGCUGGCCCAAUCUAACAACAAUCACCGCCGACGGACAACCAUAUGCUUCUCCUUUCCAAAACCGCUAGACUGCCACCACCAUUAUGGUGCCAUCAUCGUCCCAUGGAUCUGAGCUGCCCUGCCAAUCAAACAUGUCCCAAGAUCAAAUUUGCAAUAUCUCACCAAGAUCACAUCAAACUGAUCCAUCAGAGACAAGGCCUGCUGACACGAUCCCACCACCACCUAGCAGUCUCUGAACUGGCACCACCAACCUUCUUCGCCAUCCACAAACGAUGAACCAAUCCAAUCCUGACCGCUCCUUCCUUCCAUCACUAACAUACACUGAAAACUCCCCGAUCCUAACCAAGAUGUUGGAUGAGGAGUUUGGCUUAUUCCAGACCCACACGAGGUUGACGAAAUCACGUCUGACGACGGAAAAAUGGCUUGUUGUCAGAUAGGGAACAAGCAACCUUGUUUCUCUUAAAGGUAUGCUCUAAGUUGAGGACUAACUCAUCGCCCUCACUCGAAAAUUUAUUGAUGAGGGAAAAGAAUUACAUAAGGAAAGGAGGACUAGGCUAAUGCCACUUCCUAACAAACCAACAAUAUUGAUACAAGACAACAAAAAACACAAACAAUAAGGUAACAAAAAACUACAAGAACAAAUAAAUACCAACUAUCUCUAAGAGGACCGAAAAUUAGCUAGCCUGUAGCGAAGCAUCCUUAGGAAUCUGCUCAUGUAGAAAAGAGAAAAAAGAUAUCUACUAAAUUGAACAGUCAUGAUCCGCACCAUAGUUUGUCAGUUUAUUAGCUACAAUAAAUGUGAGACAUGAAUGUGUAGUUGGCGAGCCUGAUUGAUGCAGUU
rnacentral:lncRNA from 1 species